rnacentral:tRNA from 1 species
GGUCCGAUGGUGUAGUGGUAAGACACCGCUUCUCAACAGCGGAGAUCUCCAGUUCGAUCCUGGAUCAGACCA